rnacentral:rRNA from 1 species
GUUAUGGUUCCUUUGGUCGCUCGCUCCUCUCCUACUUGGAUAACUGUGGUAAUUCUAGAGCUAAUACAUGCCGACGGGCGCUGACCCCCCUUCCCGGGGGGGGAUGCGUGCAUUUAUCAGAUCAAAACCAACCCGGUGAGCUCCCUCCCGGCUCCGGCCGGGGGUCGGGCGCCGGCGGCUUUGGUGACUCUAGAUAACCUCGGGCCGAUCGCACGCCCCCCGUGGCGGCGACGACCCAUUCGAACGUCUGCCCUAUCAACUUUCGAUGGUAGUCGCCGUGCCUACCAUGGUGACCACGGGUGACGGGGAAUCAGGGUUCGAUUCCGGAGAGGGAGCCUGAGAAACGGCUACCACAUCCAAGGAAGGCAGCAGGCGCGCAAAUUACCCACUCCCAGCUUGGGGAGGUAGUGACGAAAAAUAACGAGACGAUUCUCGUUUGAGAAACGUUAUCGAAAUGAGUACGCUUUACACACGCUAACGAGUAGCAAUUGGAGGGCAAGUCUGGUGCCAGCAGCCGCGGUAAUUCCAGCUCCAAUAGCGUAUAUUAAAGUUGCUGCAGUUAAAAAGCUCGUAGUUGGAUCUUGGGAGCGGGCGGGCGGUCCGCCGCGAGGCGAGUCACCGCCCGUCCCCGCCCCUUGCCUCUCGGCGCCCCCUCGAUGCUCUUAGCUGAGUGUCCCGCGGGGCCCGAAGCGUUUACUUUGAAAAAAUUAGAGUGUUCAAAGCAGGCCCGAGCCGCCUGGAUACCGCAGCUAGGAAUAAUGGAAUAGGACCGCGGUUCUAUUUUGUUGGUUUUCGGAACUGAGGCCAUGAUUAAGAGGGACGGCCGGGGGCAUUCGUAUUGCGCCGCUAGAGGUGAAAUUCUUGGACCGGCGCAAGACGGACCAGAGCGAAAGCAUUUGCCAAGAAUGUUUUCAUUAAUCAAGAACGAAAGUUAGAGGUUCGAAGGCGAUCAGAUACCGCCCUAGUUCUAACGGUAAACUAUGCCAACCAGCGAUUCGCCGAAGUUCAUUUAAGACUCGGCGAGCAGCUUCCGGGAAACCAAAGUGUUUCGGUUCCGGGGGAAGUAUGGUUGCAAAGCUGAAACUUAAAGGAAUUGACGGAAGGGCACCACCAGGAGUGGAGCCUGCGGCUUAAUUUGACCCAACACGGGAAAACUCACCCGGCCCGGACACUGAAAGGAUUGACAGAUUGACAGCUCUUUCUUGAUUCAGUGGGUAGUGGUGCAUGGCCGUUCUUAGUUGGUGGAGCGAUUUGUCUGGUUAAUUCCGAUAACGAACGAGACUCUACCCUAUUAAAUAGUGACAGUAUUGCAUAUUCUGUGCUGAUCACUUCUUAGAGGGACUGGCAAAUUGAAAGCUGCACGAAAAAGAGCAAUAACAGGUCUGUGAUGCCCUUCGAUGUCCGGGGCUGCACGCGCGCUACAAUGAAAGCGUCAACGUGAGUUACGUCCUUACCUGAAAAGGUUUGGCAAUCGAUUGAAACGUUUUCUUGAAUGGAAUAGGGAAUUGCAAUUGUUUCCCUUGAACGAGGAAUUCCCAGUAAGCGUGAGUCAUUAGCUCGCGUUGAUUACGUCCCUGCCCUUUGUACACACCGCCCGUCGCUACUACCGAUUGGAUGAUUUAGUGAGGUGUUUUGACUAGCGCCUGUAGUCGGAUGUAUAUUCGGCUUCGCGCCGGGAAAUUUCCCAAACCAAAUCAUCUAGAGGAAGUAAAAGUCGUAACAAGGUUUCCGUAGGUGAACCUGCGGAAG